ACGCUCGACACCUACGGAGGCAGCAGUGGGGAAUAUUGCACAAUGGGGGAAACCCUGAUGCAGCGACGCCGCGUGAAGGAAGAAGUAUUUCGGUAUGUAAACUUCUAUCAGCAGGGAAGAAAAUGACGGUACCUGACUAAGAAGCCCCGGCUAACUACGUGCCAGCAGCCGCGGUAAUCUGAGCGGGCUGGCAAGGC
rnacentral:rRNA from 1 species